rnacentral:rRNA from 1 species
GCUCACACAAGCGGUGGAGCAUGUUGCUUAAUUCGAUGCAACGCGAAGAACCUUAUCCUGGGCUUGACAUAUUUGGAUGCCUACUGGGAAACCAGGUCGGCUACCCUUCGGGGUGAAACUUAUACAGGUGCUGCAUGGCUGUCGUCAGCUCGUGUCGUGAGAUGUUGGGUUAAGUCCCGUAACGAGCGAAACCCUUGUCUUUAGUUGCCAGCGAGUAAUGUCGGGGACUCUAGAGAGACUGCCGGUGUCAAACCGGAGGAAGGUGGGGAUGACGUCAAGUCCUCAUGGCCUUUAUGCCCAGGGCUGCAAACGUGCUACAAUGGCGUGUACAAACCGACGCGAGACCGUGAGGUGGAGCAAAUCGGAAAAAGCACGCCCCAGUUCGGAUUGAAGUCUGCAACUCGACUUCAUGAAGUUGGAAUCGCUAGUAAUCGCGUGUCAGCGNACGCGGUG